GCUACGCCAAACAGAUCAAAACCAGGACUGGAGGACUGAAGAUGAAGCCGGCAAAAAGUCACCAGCCACGGCUCUUGUAAGGUAUGCUUCACCUCUCCUGCUAAGUCUUCAUCCCUGUCUAUGAGGACAAAGAAGUUACGGGUUAAAUUGGCGAUGGGCCAGGCGCUCCUUGAGGAUGCUCUAAAGACAUCUCUUUGUCCAAAGACUGCCUCGUGAAAUUGGUCACACAGUCACGCUCUACAGGAAAGUUCCAGGGAAUCUGAUGCCUUCUUCUAACCAUCACGAAGACAAGUUGGUGAUAGAAAAUGGGAGAACUGAAGACAACCACUUUAUAAAACCCUUGCCUGCUUGAAUUUGUGGUGAUGAUGGCAGUUGUGCUCCACAAAAGAUCUUUUGAUUGUUUCCCCCCCCUCCCCGCUUCCUGUGUGAAAAAUUAUCAAGGAGAAUAUAGGUACCAAGGAAGAUUGGUUCGGUGAACUUUGCCUGUCCUCGAAUCGGUUCAGGGAUGGUUUGUUUUGUUUUUUGUUUUUGUUUUUUUGUUUUCUUGUUUUCCUUCUGAAGUCAUUCUGAGUCCUCAUUCUACCCUAGGUUGUAGGCCAUUUCCUUUUCUACAGCUGUUCAUACUCACCCUUUUUAGCUACUUAAUUUUGCUCUUGAUUGUCUAGUCUUAUUCAUUGGUUACAAUUUUCACACAGGAAAGGUAGUCUAGGAGCUUCGAAAGGAAAGCUUUUUUCAUGCAGGGUGAUUGGUAUUGCUGAGGGCUAACAACCCUUGCCUACCGUAUCCUAGAGCCUGGGUUUGCUCCCCAGGACUGAAAUGGGCACUGUUACC
rnacentral:sRNA from 1 species